UACGUAGGGCGCAAGCGUUGUCCGGAAUUAUUGGGCGUAAAGAGCUCGUAGGCGGUCUGUCGCGUCUGCUGUGAAAACUCGGGGCUUAACCCCGGGCCCGCAGUGGGUACGGGCAGACUAGAGUGCGGUAGGGGAGACUGGAAUUCCUGGUGUAGCGGUGAAAUGCGCAGAUAUCAGGAGGAACACCGGUGGCGAAGGCGGGUCUCUGGGCCGUAACUGACGCUGAGGAGCGAAAGCAUGGGGAGCGAACAGG
rnacentral:rRNA from 1 species